AGCAGCAGCCACGGUAAUACGGAGGAUCCAAGCGUUAUCCGGAAUCAUUGGGUUUAAAGGGUCCGUAGGCGGCUCAGUAAGUCAGUGGUGAAAUCUCCCCGCUCAACGGGGAAACUGCCAUUGAUACUGCUGAGCUUGAAUUACUGGGAAGUAACUAGAAUAUGUAGUGUAGCGGUGAAAUGCUUAGAGAUUACAUGGAAUACCAAUUGCGAAGGCAGGUUACUACCAUUAUAUUGACGCUGAUGGACGAAAGCGUGGGGAGCGAACAGGAUUAGAUACCCCCGUAGUCCCUGUCUCUUAUAA
rnacentral:rRNA from 1 species